AGUGGCGGACGGGUGAGUAACGCGUGAGAAUCUGCCUUGGGGUCGGGGACAACCACUGGAAACGGUGGCUAAUACCGGAUACGCCUUCGGGUAAAAGAUUUAUUGCCCUAAGAGGAGCUCGCGUCUGAUUAGCUAGUUGGUGAGGUAAGAGCUCACCAAGGCAGCGAUCAGUAGCUGGUCUGAGAGGACGAUCAGCCACACUGGGACUGAGACACGGCCCAGACUCCUACGGGAGGCAGCAGUGGGGAAUUUUCCGCAAUGGGCGAAAGCCUGACGGAGCAAGACCGCGUGAGGGAGGAAGGCUCCUGGGUUGUAAACCUCUUUUCUCAGGGAAGAAGCUCUGACGGUACCUGAGGAAUCAGCCUCGGCUAACUCCGUGCCAGCAGCCGCGGUAAUACGGAGGAGGCAAGCGUUAUCCGGAAUUAUUGGGCGUAAAGCGUCCGCAGGUGGCGAUUCAAGUCUGCUGUCAAAGCACGGGGCUUAACUCCGUAAAGGCAGUGGAAACUGAAUAGCUAGAGUGCCGUAGGGGUAGAGGGAAUUCCCGGUGUAGCGGUGAAAUGCGUAGAGAUCGGGAAGAACAUCGGUGGCGAAAGCGCUCUACUGGACGGCAACUGACACUCAGGGACGAAAGCUAGGGGAGCGAAUGGGAUUAGAUACCCC
rnacentral:rRNA from 1 species